rnacentral:rRNA from 1 species
CGGGGUGAGUAAUGUAUGGGGAUCUGCCUGAUGGCGGGGGAUAACUACUGGAAACGGUAGCUAAUACCGCAUAAUGUCUACGGACCAAAGCGGGGGACCUCCGGGCCUCUUGCCAUCGGAUGUGCCCAGAUGGGAUUAGCUAGUAGGUAAGGUAACGGCUUACCUAGGCGACGAUCCCUAGCUGGUCUGAGAGGAUGAUCAGCCACACUGGGACUGAGACACGGCCCAG